rnacentral:rRNA from 1 species
UACGGGGGGGCAAGCGUUGUUCGGAAUUACUGGGCGUAAAGGGCUCGUAGGUGGCCAACUAAGUCAGACGUGAAAUCCCUCGGCUUAACCGGGGAACUGCGUCUGAUACUGGAUGGCUUGAGUUUGGGAGAGGGAUGCGGAAUUCCAGGUGUAGCGGUGAAAUGCGUAGAUAUCUGGAGGAACACCGGUGGCGAAGGCGGCAUCCUGGACCAACACUGACACUGAGGAGCGAAAGCCAGGGGAGCAACGGG